GGACAACCUACCCUGCGGAAGGGGAUAACCCCGGGAAACUGGGGAUAAUACCCUAUAGGAUAUUGAUGCUGGAAUGCGCGAUAUCUGAAAGUUGAGGCGCCGCAGGAUGGGUCUGCGGCCGAUUAGGUAGUUGUUGGGGUAACGGCCCAACAAGCCUGUAAUCGGUACGGGUUGUGGGAGCAAGAGCCCGGAGAUGGAUUCUGAGACAUGAAUCCAGGCCCUACGGGGCGCAGCAGGCGCGAAAACUUUACAAUGCGGGAAACCGUGAUAAGGGAACCCCGAGUGCCCGUAGAAUCGGGCUGUUGAUCUGUGUAAAAAGCAGGUAAAGAAAGGGCCGGGCAAGACCGGUGCCAGCCGCCGCGGUAAUACCGGCGGCUCGAGUGGUGGCCACUAUUACUGGGCUUAAAGCGUUCGUAGCUGGGUUGUUAAGUCUCUUGGGAAAUCCACCGGCUCAACCGAUGGGCGACCAGGGGAAACUGGCAUUCUAGGGACCGGGAGAGGUGAGAGGUACUCCAGGGGUAGGAGUGAAAUCCUGUAAUCCUUGGGGGACCACCGAUGGCGAAGGCAUCUCACCAGAACGGCUCCGACAGUGAGGAACGAAAGCUGGGGGAGCAAACCGGAUUAGAUACCCGGGUAGUCCCAGCUGUAAACGAUGCGCGUUAGGUGUAUUGGUGACCACGAGUUACCGAGGUGCCGAAGGGAAACCGUGAAACGCGCCGCCUGGGAAGUACGGUCGCAAGGCUGAAACUUAA
rnacentral:rRNA from 1 species